CUAUUACAGUAGUUGACAGCUUUUUUCCAUAAUAAAUUACAGGCAUACUUGCGCUUGACUGUAAAUGAUGCAGUACAGGUACAGUUAUUUACUGUUGAAUGCGUUGCACGAGGCAGUUGCUUUACACAAGACAAUUUGAUGGCGGAUUGCAGAGGAGCAGCCACAUUGCCACUCCACUCAGCCACAAUACCCUAGCUACGGGGAGGAAACCUCCUAAAGUGAGAACCAUCGCUGCACAGUGAUCAACAACAUACAUGGCUGAAGAAGCUUUUCAGGUGAAUUUCUCACAGAAACCGUUUGGAUGCUGAGCAUUGGGGGUCAGGUGGUUGUGCCUCCACAUCCUAACUUCGUGGCUGGAUUGGCAGCUUUGUUUUCGAGCUACUACAUCUUUAAUCUGGUGUACCCGGAGCAAGCAUCUUGCACACUAAAAUUCAUUCAAAGAUGCUUCAUCGGACUGAACCCUUCAAGUGGAACCAACAAAAGUGUUGAGCCAAAAACAUGAGAACAUACAGGAGAAAGAGAGGAACUGCAUUAACCCUCGCGUCUCCUCUCUACUCAGCGGGAGGUAGCGGGAGAGGUAGACGUCAACAAAUGACAAAAAGCAACACAGAUGGUUCCCCAAAAUGCUCUCCAAGAUUCAGUUCACCAAUUAAACACGGAGCACACCGAACAGACUUGAGUCACCAACCUCACCGGACUGUCAGGUUGAUUAUCGGGUUGGUUCUAUCAUGGUCAUGAUGAGCUCUUAAGAAAAAUAGAAGUUACCUUCUGAAAACAUACAGUAUUGUUACACUGUGUUGAAUUUUAAUAAUAAAAUGUCAUGAUUUUGCAUCUCUGACUCUGGUUUUAUUUUACAGUUGAAGAGAAUCUAAUGCAAUGGUUUUUGAAUUAAAAGCAAGCUUGGUCUUAUUUAAAACACUUUACA